rnacentral:rRNA from 2 species
GGGUUGUGAGGUUAAGCGACUAAGCGUACACGGUGGAUGCCCUGGCAGUCAGAGGCGAUGAAGGACGUGCUAAUCUGCGAUAAGCGCCGGUAAGGUGAUAUGAACCGUUAUAACCGGCGAUUUCCGAAUGGGGAAACCCAGUGUGAUUCGUCACACUAUCAUUAACUGAAUCCAUAGGUUAAUGAGGCGAACCGGGGGAACUGAAACAUCUAAGUACCCCGAGGAAAAGAAAUCAACCGAGAUUCCCCCAGUAGCGGCGAGCGAACGGGGAGGAGCCCAGAGCCUGAAUCAGCAUGUGUGUUAGUGGAAGCGUCUGGAAAGGCGCGCGAUACAGGGUGACAGCCCCGUACACAAAAGCGCAUGUGCUGUGAGCUCGAUGAGUAGGGCGGGACACGUGGUAUCCUGUCUGAAUAUGGGGGGACCAUCCUCCAAGGCUAAAUACUCCUGACUGACCGAUAGUGAACCAGUACCGUGAGGGAAAGGCGAAAAGAACCCCGGCGAGGGGAGUGAAAAAGAACCUGAAACCGUGUACGUACAAGCAGUGGGAGCACAGGUUUACCUGUGUGACUGCGUACCUUUUGUAUAAUGGGUCAGCGACUUAUAUUCUGUAGCAAGGUUAACCGUAUAGGGGAGCCGGAGG